rnacentral:rRNA from 1 species
AUUGAACGCUGGCGGCAGGCCUAACACAUGCAAGUCGAACGAGUGGCGGACGGGUGAGUAAUGUAUGGGAAACUGCCUGAUGGAGGGGGAUAACUACUGGCAACGGUAGCUAAUACCGCAUACCAUCGGAUGUGCCCAGAUGGGAGUAGCUAGGAGGUGGGGUAACGGCUCACCUAGGCGACGAUCCCUAGCUGGUCUGAGAGGAUGACCAGCCACACUGGAACGUAGACACGGUCCAGACUCCUACGGGAGGCAGCAGUGGGGAAUAUUGCACAAGGGGCGCAAGCCUGAUGCAGCCAUGCCGCGUGGAUGAAGAAGGCCUUCGGGUUGUAAAGUACGUGCAGCGGGGAGGCGUUACCCGCAGAAGAAGCACCGGCUAACGCCGGGCCAGCAGCCGCGGUAAUAC